AGGUGCGGCGUCUGCGCAGAAGGUGCUGGGCCAGGUCCUAGGUGGAUCCCUGCUGGUCCGCUAUGUGGGGUGCUGCGGGGUUCUUCUGGCGGGGCCUCCAGGAACUGCCACCAGCGCCUUUAGCCUCAGUGCUCAGCCAACUGCUGAGGGUCUCGCAGCCCCACUCUCUCCUCUUCUGUGCCGAGGACCCCGUGACGGCAGACAUCCGAGGCUCCCCUCCCCGCCCCAAGUGUUUUCAGUUGGAACAUAUCUCGUCUCGCAGAGCUUUAAAUUAAGUCUCUCCCAGAUGAAGCGCCCUCGUCUAAUCUUCGUGGACUUGUGCUACUGCUGUGUCUACACCAGAUGUACCGUCCUCUUUCCCUUCAGCCUUGUCUUGGAAUCUGCUUAUCUUCUCACCUGAAAGUGUCUGA